rnacentral:lncRNA from 1 species
CGGGCCCGCAAGGCUGCAGCCCCUGGAAGACGUUCCACGGGCGGAGAACAGUCGGGAGAGCCCGGCUAUGGACAGUCAGGAGGACCUGACUCUGGUUUUCUGGAACAAAGGAGGUGGAAUGCUCCUUUUACCUAGGCGGGAGUGGACGAGGAAUCCCACUCCGUCAGAGGUCGAGUUCGGCUGCCUAUUUAAAUAUAGGCACGGACAAGUGUGCUUAGUCGUUAGGACAAGAGGACACUCUGGAAUCCUGUUGGGAGGUGGAAUCAGAUGGUCCAUCUCAUCCCAAAAGCAGCUAAGGUUAAGCU